rnacentral:rRNA from 1 species
UACGUAGGGCGCGAGCGUUGUCCGGAUUUAUUGGGCGUAAAGAGCUCGUAGGCGGCUUGUCGCGUCGACUGUGAAAACUCGGGGCUCAACUCCGAGCUUGCAGUCGAUACGGGCAGGCUAGAGUUCGGUAGGGGAGACUGGAAUUCCUGGUGUAGCGGUGAAAUGCGCAGAUAUCAGGAGGAACACCGGUGGCGAAGGCGGGUCUCUGGGCCGAUACUGACGCUGAGGAGCGAAAGCGUGGGGAGCAAACAGG